GAUGAACGCUAGCGGCAGGCCUAAUACAUGCAAGUCGAACGAGAUUAAGAGGCUUGCUUCUUAUGAAAGUGGCGCACGGGUGCGUAACGCGUAUGCAACCUACCUUAAUCAGGGGGAUAGCCCGAAGAAAUUCGGAUUAAGACCGCAUAAAAACACAGGAUAGCAUUAUCCAAUGUUCAAAUAUUUAUAGGAUUAAGAUGGGCAUGCGUGUCAUUAGCUAGUUGGCGGGGUAACGGCCCGCCAAGGCGACGAUGACUAGGGGAUCUGAGAGGAUGACCCCCCACACUGGUACUGAGACACGGACCAGACUCCUACGGGAGGCAGCAGUAAGGAAUAUUGGUCAAUGGAGGGAACUCUGAACCAGCCAUGCCGCGUGCAGGAAGACAGCCCUCUGGGUCGUAAACUGCUUUUAUUCGGGAAUAAACCUUUCUACGUGUAGGAAGCUGAAUGUACCGAAGGAAUAAGGAUCGGCUAACUCCGUG
rnacentral:rRNA from 1 species